CAGGCAAGCCAUCAACCCAUUCUUCAGAAAGCAGGGGCUAAAAUGCAAGAUGUUUAAAGCCCUGCGGCCACACUGUGUCAUUCUGACAUCCUGGGACAAAUGAGAUGAUUUUAAAUGUGCCUGGCGAAUUUGAUCAUGAGACUGCAUUUUCUCUCGUCGGUUUCGGCAUGAAUUGUCCCAGAGUCUCAGAAAGGGGGGAUCCAGGGCAGAAUUGCCAGUGUCUGUCUCGUUAAGCUCAGAAUCCCAGCAUCAGGAAGACAUUGACCGGCCUUUAAGAUUGCAGCAAGCCUCGAGGAAGCCGUCCAAAGGGCCAGAGUGACCGGCUCCAGUUGGCCACCGGCGGCCCGCACAGAACCUCACUGCCUGGCCCAGACCAGAGUGAGAACGCAGCAGCCUCCAGCAGAGCUGCACGGCCAUGAGGGUCCCUGAGUCCAGAACUGAGCUCUAGAUGGUCACACACAAGUGCCCAGGACAGGACUCCAGGCUGGAUGUUUUCUGCGAACACCGUGGGGACCCUCCCUAGGCAGGAUUAAGGAAACCCCAUGCUCAGUGGGGGGCAAGACCCCAGCCUGGCCCUGC
ensembl:lncRNA RPS6KA2-IT1 RPS6KA2 intronic transcript 1